AGCGAUCGACUGCCCUAGUCAGUCCUCGUCCGUCUGCCGGUCGGUCGUUUACGUUUAUGUUUGACAGCUUGUGAAUUCGCGUCACUCGAGCUUCGACCAGCCAGUGCUACGCCUGUGUGUGUGUGGAUGUGUAUGUGUGCCGUCUCAUCUACCUACACGCUCGAUUAAAAAAAUGAAUUCCUUCUCGACCGGCUUGCCGAUAUUAAUCGAGACUUUUCUCUUUUUCCUGGAUCGUUCGAUUUUUCGAAUCGAUGCCACGCAUCGACAUUUUCCGACGAUUCUAAAAGACACUUUUAUCCGUUCACGCUAGUUACCGGACUUGGACGAUUCCUCGAUUUUCAAAGGAAAAGAAGGUCUCGGAUAGAAAGUCGUAGGAAAUGUUUGGCUGAGACAUUCUGUUAGCCGUUUAAAUCCACGUUCCACGCAGUUGAUAGAGAGUCGCGCGAGUAUACGCGUGCCAGAAGCAAGGUAGUCGACGACAACGGCAAUCGUCGUUCAACGCACAUAAAACUACCGUAAAAGACGAAACUGGUUUUCACAAUGAUUUGACAGAUAGAUUUGAUUCUGAGAUCAUUGUGAAAGCUGAUUUUGUUUGGAAGUCGCUGAAAUACAUCGCAGGAGAGACACAACGAGGAUGGGACAGGAAACGCGCGUUCCUCUCGGAUCUUGGAAACGAUCGAAUCACGGAGAUCGCGUGCCUUCUUCAUUCACCGUCUCAGGGUGUAAUUGUUGACGGAUAAAUAAAUUGUACGCACAAAGGAGCCUCUGUCUCGCGAGCAUUGCACGUAGCAGCACGCGCUUCACGGCGCGCGCCUCGAAAUUUAUGAUUCAUCGAGAAGACGACUACAAGAGGAGAGGAAAAGAUGGAAGGCUAUAAGGGAAAGAAUUGCUCGAUCUUUCCAAUCGAUAUUGCCAUGUUCAUGGAAACUGCAAUGAUUGUACAACGAUAUCUGGUACGAUCGUUGGAAAAAUGAGGAGAAACCGAGGACUGAAAAUGAUUGGUUUAGACUAGAUAAAUCCCUACGAUGCCACAAGAUCAUCUGUGAUAUAGCCACCAAAUAUCCAAUUGAAUGGCACGCGAACAAAGCAAGUUAAAUACCUAGGACACUCCACUUGGACGCACAACUUACAUGGGAACAACAUACUAAAUGAAUUGUGGACAAAACACGGAUAAAAAGAAGACGGAUGUACUGGCUAACUAGUCGAAACUCUAAACUCAGCAUAGAAAAUAAACUAAAAGUCUAGAAAACGAUGAUAAGAGCAAUUUGGACGUACGGAAUACCGCUAUGGGGGACAGCAGCACAUGAGCCACAUAAAUAAACUAGAGUCGCUGCAAUCGAAGAUACUAGGGACAAUAGUCGACGUACCAUGGUAUGUCAGAAACGAGGAUAUACGCAAAGACGACACGUUCAAACCAGGUGGCUGUUGAAACGAGCAAAACUCUGAUAGAAAGAAGACUGAAAAGGAAACAAACCAUUGACCUCGCCAAAGAAAAUCUGUGAUACGUACAUAAAGAUUUACAUAAGGAUAUCUUCAAUGUAUACGCUGUACAUCUAUUUUUAGUAGACUUUCGUGACUGAUUGUAUAUGUUUGAAUCGGCGAGUUAAUAUUUCGGAUCCGCUGUAUCCUCGCACCGAGGCAAAUUUCAUCCGGUAAGAGCAUCGAUGUUAUUCGAGAGAAUAUCGAAGACGAAGAAAAAUCAGACGAGCGUGGUCUGUUUUCGUGGUUUUCUCGAGGAAACAAGCGGAUGCAGGCUGCUGGGCCGUCAAUCGAGUAUCUAGAGCACGAACGAGCAACGUGGUUUUUUGUCGGAAUUUCCGGUAGUGAUUUAUCAAACGGGAAGAUGGUAUCGAACGAAGAAGCAACGGCAAGAAACGACUUCUCGCGGAGAGGCCGAAGAAACUAGAGAAGCGGAAGCGAAGAAAGAAGGGAAGGCAGAAGAAACGAAAGAAGAUGGCUCGCGAGUGCUGCAGCAGCAGGCUAUCCCGCGCGAACUCGGAACGCAUCGUGCUAUGCGGCCGGCUAUGUAUGCAUGCUCGAGCGCUAUCAAGUGUCAAACGAACCGAACUUAAGAAAAACCAAACGUUCGAGCUGCAGCCGUGGAAUUUUGAGAGAACGCAGCCAGACAAGAGCGAGCAAGAGAGAAGAGAAACUCUAGAUUCUAGAGAUGGUAUCCGUUCUAACAGUCAUCUACAUCGUCAUGACUCUUGGACGAUGGGUUGCUUUCGACCCUCUUAGCGCAUCAUAUUCCUGACAGCUCGGGGAAAGGACAGCUCGGAGAGUGUUCUCCAGCUCGAUCACCGGAAUCUAACCCCUUUUCUUCUCGACUUUGUUCCCAGAGAUCGAGUUUACCACCAGGUUCGUCAUGAUCAUCGGUGCAAUAAAACGACCGUGAACACGCAUCCACGUGUCCUUGGACGUAGAACGAUAUUCGAUGCAGUCAUAGACUGGCCAACCUAAGUCCAUUUUGUCACGGAUCUACGAGAAGGAGCGGAGUUUCACUACUUUUUCUUUAUUUCUUCUCAGCGACUUGAGCGGUGGCUCGUAAAAGAAAUCCUUGGCAAAUUGGGCCACGAGACGGGACAUGGUCGUUCUCGUGUUUCGAGUCGAUAAACUUGCGGCCGGCGUGCUUCGACGGCCACGAAAUCACGCGAGAUUUAUUCUCCUUCCUCCUUUCUCACUCGGUCCGGUCUGACGUUAUUUUGACAGGACCGCGAGAAAAUUUAUCGAGGAGAGCGUAAAGGCGGUGGCAACUACGCGGGCCCGACAAUGUUUUGAGCUAUUAGACGAAACAAGUCACUGGUCUUUUACGAGCAGUUGCGGUGACCCACAGCGCCACGUUCGACCACCAUCUUCGAUCGUAAAUCCAAUUGGUGAGUAAUUCGAUAUUAAACGAUAAAUAUUAACGAAGCUUUGUGGAUCUCCCACACUCGACAUUGGCCAUCUACUCGGUGGAAUUUAAAGAUUCGAAACUGUCGAUUGUUUUUAUCAAAUUGAAUCGUUUUAUUAAAUAAAUUAUAACGAACUCGAAUAGAAAUGAAUCGUCUACGUAAUACGUUACAGACGUUUUAUUUUAUCAGAACGAUGAAACUUGAUAGAGUCUGGUAUAGUUGUAGAAUUUCACUCGCAAGGGUGUAUUUCCUUGAGAAAGAAACGCGAAGGAAGGAAAACCGAGGAAAAAGGAAAAAAAAUAAAUCGAGAGAGCGGAAAUAACUAUUUAAAAUCGACCACUCGUUUAAUCGAGGUCUGGUUGUUAUCGGCUCCAAACGUAUCGACGCAACCAAGAGCUAGAAUUUUACGAGCGAGAACGUUGAACGAUGUCGUAAAAACGUCGACCCGCGAUUUUCUGGAAAACUCGUAAAUCCUUGCACCCACUUGUAACAUUCUCCAGAGAUUUCCACAAUCUCGAGGGUUGAUAUUCCGAAAUCAAAUUUCAGUCUCUUUCGCGUCGAAACGAGAAGCGUUCCGGGACUUUUAAUUCUUCAGCAACGAACUCGCGAUUUGAAACUAACGUCGUCACGGUCUACGUAAAACUUGGCGUCACAUGGCACACACCUAACCACGCAGAACAAAAUUACGCUCUAUAAGACCGUAAUAAAACCUGUCUGGACCUACGGAAUCCAACUUCUAAUCGAAAACGCUAAGAUCCCUGAUAAAUGCACCUUGCUUUGUCACCAACGAAGCAAUACAUCGCCACCUCGAGAUACGCACAGUCAAAGAAGAAAUAACAAAAUAUAGCAAUAGAUAUAGCAAAAGAGUCGACAAACAUCGAAACCCCCUAAUUACUAAAUUACUUAAUACGUCGGACCAGAUCCGCAGGCUAAAAAACACCACCCGUUAGACCUAAGCACAAGAUUUAACUAGAUAUUUAUAUUAAGUGAUAUUUACUUAUUUAUGAAUUAUACUUAUCUAUAAUAGGUGUUAACUUGUUAUAAACAAUUAGCCAUGUCACUGCGCCACGCCGGAGAAAAUUACUUAAAAUUCUCAAUGCGAGAAUUGAUUGUAAAAUACUAGUAAAUAAAAAAAAAACAUGGUACACGUCUUAAUUGACACGACGGAUCAGAUCCGCAGGCUAAGAAGACAUUAUCCUUUAGAUUUAAACAUUAAAUUCAACUGGAAUACGAUCAAACGCUUAUUAUCCAAGUUGUGGUACAACGCCAGAAUAAUUUACUUAUAAUUCUCAAUGAAAAUUGAUUGUAAAAUUCUCCCAAACAAUAAAGAAAAAACAUAGUUCACAUAGUCGAACUAUGGAACAGUUCGUACAAUUUAUUCAAUAAAAUAAAAUUUCAUAACUAAUAGAAAAAAAGAGCCGUGAUAAUCCGCUUUGUUGGCCAGAUCUCGCUUUUGACAGAAUGGAAGAAGACGGAAAGUUUUCAAUGGUCCUAAUUCGAUGACCAGCGACCAGGGUUUGUAAAGGGCGUUGAGUGGAGGCAACGAGAGGAAGAAGGAUCGAAGGGUAGCGCACGUGCGUAACGCGCGACACAUCUCGAUCCUCGGCUCUAUCUCGUUCUUUCGUGGCGCGGAUGUGCGCACCAUCGCACACGCGAUUCGCUCAACUUGCCGAAGAAGGCCUUUUCUCGUCCGGCCGCUGUUCCAGUACGUAUGUUGGCCGGCGUCGUUGGUCUCGCGAGGCCGCGAGGCACGAGCAACGGGCCGAGCUUUUAUCACAGCCGAAUCGCCGCUAGCCACAUGUGUACCGAGCAAAAACUUCCUCCUACGGUUCUUCUUCUUCUUCGUCUUCUUCUUCUUCUUCUUCAACGUCCCCUCCUUUUCGUCUUUCUUUCCGCUGGUCCACUCGUGGUCGAUUCCCCUUCGAUCCAGUCGCGCGCGGGUGGUCAGUUCAAUACACGUACAUCCCUAUUUACAAGUAUUAGGCUACUUAAAGGAAAUAAGGUACCCGAAUAUCAUUAGGAAACCAGUAAAGUAUCGAGGAAUUAUUAUGAAAUUUUGUGUCGAGAUUAUAAAAUCUUAGGUAAAUAAAGGACCCAUAUAUUCCAUGUUGCAAGAAUUUUGUUUAAUGCAAUAUCGUUGCAAGGAGAUCUAAUUUUUUCGAUAUACCGUUCAAUUUCCAAUCGCAUUUAUUCAAAACGUAUUAAACGUGGUUCCACUGAGUAUCUCUUUUUUUAUUAUUUAACUUUUACUUUACAAUUUGCCCAGCUGGACAUUCGGUAAAUUUUUCUAGCUCAAUUGCUAAAUAACGUGUGCAUGGCUACCCCCGGCGGGAUACCAUCUCUUGUAACUUCUGUAUACAUUUUCAGAUAUAAAUAUAAAACUUUACCAAUAGUACCAUAACAGUCGUCGAGUCUCGAAAUAGCGUUAAUGAAAUUUUAAGAUGUUUUCUACGACACGUGUGAUACGUUCGUAAUGUACUGGUCCACCAAAACCCAUUAGUUACCCAACUACUCGACACGACGGACCAGAUCCGCAAACUAAAAACCCUUUAGAUUUAAACAUUAGAUUCAACUAGAAUCGAACAUACUACAAACACUUAUUAUCCAAGUUAUAGUACCACGCCAGAAUAAUUUACUUUUAAUUCUCGAUUAGAAUUGAUUGUAAAAUUCUAGCAAAUAAAAUAAAAAAAAAAUGUAUUGGAAUACUUUCGUGAGUCUAUGUGUAACAAAAAUCAUGCUGUAACAGUAAUCGUAACCAAGCAUGUGGAUUUUACAGUUGGAACGAUGAGAAAGCAAUUGAGCGACGGAAAAACAGCGCGUGGCCUAAUUUUUCACUUUCGUUCUUCCGAUAUCUCGAUCGAUGGUGCACGUACCUUCGGAUGUUGCAACCGAUGUUGCAUCGAACGAUGGAUCGCGCGAACGAACGAUCCCAAGUUAUAAAUUACAAUAAUAGCCGAGGACAUUGCAAUCGGAGUAGCAAUUAGUCUCAGUCGGCACUGGGUUUAUCGCGUUCCACGGCUAUCGUGGCGAACUUUUUAUUGUAAUUUGCAAUAGAAAACUGCGGAGCCCUACUCAUCGUUUCUAUCGUACGAUACUCCAAAUACGUAGCUUUUUGUCUUUUCUUUUUUUUUUUAAACUUGUCUGCGAUCCAACAGUUGGUAUAAAAUUUAUGUUCGGUUCGAUAAAAGAGGCUCGUGUCGAAUUGCGAAUCAUAAAGUUUUUAAAAUGAUAAAUAUCGAGCUCAUUCUGUGCAUGUAACAACAGAUUGUUUCGAGUUUGUCGAGCACGUACCAUUCUCGAGUGGAUCUCGUACUUGAGACGCCUCUGAAACCAUCGAAACUCUCGUCUUUUCUUUCCUUCGCCCUCGUCGACCAUCGCUUUCUCUCUUCUCCUCUUUGCGCGUUUAGGCGUCGAUCCUUCGUUACCAUAUAUGUACGUACUAGAAAGAGUUUGAGGAGGAAAAAAACAAAAUUCGAGCGUGAACUCGAAAAAGGAAAAAAAACGAGUGAAUUGCAGCGGAUCGAAAAGAAAUUGCUAUCGUGACGACGUUAUCCUCGUGUCGAUUGAUCCUUUACAGUUUCACAUCGACCUACUUUUACCUUUAACUGCGUAAUUCAGAUGAAAAAAAAUGUAAUCCCACAGAAAUAUACGAACGUAGACGUACGAGACGAGAGUAAUGAUAAUCGUAUUGUCGGUUAUGAAAAUUUCUAAUCUUUUUAUUCAACUGAUAUUUUUCUCCUUCGAUCUUUGUACGAAAAAUUGAAGCGCUACGUCUUACGUAACUAUAAUACGAUUACCAACGUGCCAUGCGGCGGUCGCGGACAGCGCACGAGUAAAAAAUCUCUCGUCUCGCACAGAGCCUAAGCAUUCAGCGCUUAGCGAAUCGACGUGCACGCAGAAACAAGUGCAAAGAUAAAAGCAAAAGCGAAAAGGAAACACGAAAGGAGGUUGGUUAAAGAAAAUGAAUGCCUUGGAAACGAAGAAACGUACCGACGACGUAUAAUAAGGAGGAGGAAGAGGAGGAGGAGGAGGAGGAGGACGACGACGACGAAGGGCCUCUGAACGGUAUCUACGAUCGGCGUUGGACGAGAGGACUAACGUCGGCGCGUAAAUUCAACGCGAAAAACGUACAAACAGACAAGGAUUCUUUCCAAGAAGCUAGCGGCUGUCUCGUAUCUCGAAUCACUCUCUGCCAAAUGCCAAUUAUCACGAGCCGCCGCUAGCAAUUAACAGGCAAAGGCAAGCGAGGAAGAGCAUCGGCAAACUGUUUAUUCCGUCUCGGUUUCGUCGGAAAGGGAAGCAGUCGCGACGUGGAUUGGAACCGUUCCAUCGUAUUUUUCUUAACGCCUAACGUACGUAUCUCGGACACGCAACUUGAAUCGUGGCGAUCUCGCGAAUGCUUGCACUGCCGUACCGAUCUGUCGAUAUGAUCGUGUAUUCAGGGUGAAUCGGUAACGAUGCUACGAUAAGUAACUAGGCGAUUCUGCGCGUAAAUACACAGAGAUAUCCUGUACAUCGUGUGCACCAAGUGCAUCGUUGUUCAAGAGUACACAUGUGGAUUGCUGCUAGAUACUUUGAUAGAACGUCAUUUCGUUAGAGAACUAGAAAUAGAAAAACCCAGGACGAUCUUUUUUAUCGUCAAUUGCAAACGCCAUUGUAGAACGGUAUAUCGGUCGAUAAAAUAGAUCUUUAGAGACUAAUAUGCUAUCAUCGGAGUAUUCGCUCGCAAACCGUGUUCAAGAUUUUCAUGAGAAUCGAGUUAGAAAUUUGUUGGAACAGGACGUGGUUAUGAGUACACGAGGGACAACUCUCACGCUGUUACGAAUCGAGGAACUUCUGGAUAAGACUGGAAUAAAUUGCAAUAUUUUCACAAUAGUAUCCACAACAGAGAUUUAAUUAUUUCAAUUAAUUAUUCGUUAUUAUUCUUCUCACGUUACCUAACGAUAUUAACGUAUCUUUUAUGUUAUUCCUGUUAUAUAAUUGGUUUUUCUUUCUGU